rnacentral:lncRNA from 1 species
UAAAGAAACAGGACGCCAUUCCCCUGCGGGCUACAGGGUCUGAAGGAAGCCGUGUGAUGGAGGGAGCACCGUGAUCCCUUCGCUGCAGAUGAGGAAACUGAGGCUCAGAGAGGGUCCGAGAUCUUACAGCUGGUGAGGGGCAGAGCAAGAUGCCAACCUAUGCCUGUUGGAUUCCAAAGUUUAUACUUUAAUCGUUUGUCUAGCAGAUUCUUACAACAAUCCUGGGAGGUGUGUAUUCAGCUGUCCCUUUGCAGAUAAAGAAACUGAUACUCAGCAAAGAGACGAUGUAGUGACUACCACUUGUAGGCCACUGCGCAGUCUGCAAAGCAGUUUUACAUACGUUGUUUCAUUUGAUCCUCGAAACAUCUUGGAAUUAAAGAUGAUUUUUGUUAGUCCUAUUUUACAGGUGAAUAAAGUGAGGCUUGGGGAGGUUGAGGCUUAGCCAUAGCUAACAUUGCUAAAACUCUGGCAGGAGUUACUCUUUCUCCUUCUCACUGGCUGGACCCAGCCUUGACCUUGUGAUGAUGAUGACGACGUGCUAGGGAACAGAGCUACAGCACAGGAGGUGCCAAAUGCUACCUGCCUACUUGGGACACUCACUUCAUACUCUUAUGUGAAAGCGAAAUGAUCUUCUCCGUUCCUUUUAUUAUUAACUUUGAUAGCAGGGAGGGCUGUUUGAGCCAACCCUGCACUCACACAACAC